AACGAACGCUGGCGGCAUGCCUAACACAUGCAAGUCGAACGAGACCUUCGGGUCUAGUGGCGCACGGGUGCGUACCGCGUGGGAACCUGCCCUUAGGUUCGGAAUAACUCACCGAAAGGGGUGCUAAUACCGGAUAAUGUCUUAGGACCUUAGAUUUAUCGCCUUUGGAUGGGCCCGCGUUGGUUUAGCUAGUUGGUAGGGUAAAAGCCUACCAAGGCGACGUUCCAUAGCUGGUCUGAGAGGAUGAUCAGCCACACUGGGACUGAGACACGGCCCAGACUCCUACGGGAGGCAGCAGUGGGGAAUAUUGGACAAUGGGCGAAAGCCUGAUCCAGCAAUGCCGCGUGAGUGAUGAAGGCCGUAGGGUUGUAAAGCUCUUUUACCCGGGAUGAUAAUGACAGUACCGGGAGAAUAAGCUCCGGCUAACUCCGUG
rnacentral:rRNA from 1 species